rnacentral:piRNA from 1 species
UGCUCACCAUAGAAAAGNGAAAGUGCUAGA